GUUCAUUCCUGAACAUAUACUGGAACAAUACAGAGAAGACUAGCAUGGCCCUGCUCAAAGACGACACGCAAAGUCAUAAAACGUUCCAAAUUCUU